rnacentral:rRNA from 1 species
GUUGGCGGCGUGGAUUAGGCAUGCAAGUCGAACGAGAACCGUAGCAAUACGGGGAAAGUGGCGAAAGGGGCAGUAAUGCAUGGGUAAUCUACCCCGGGGACGUGGAUAGCUAUCCUAACGGGUAGGUAAUACACGGCGAUUCGGCGGAGGGGCAUCUCUCUGCCGGGAAAUGAAUUUCGCCUCGGGAGGAACUCAUGUCGUAUUAGCUUGUUGGCGGGGUAACGGCCCACCAAGGCAAAGAUGCGUAGCGGGUGUGAGAGCACGACCCGCGCCACUGGCACUGAGACACUGGCCAGACACCUACGGGUGGCUGCAGUCGAGGAUCUUCGGCAAUGUGCGAAAGCAUGACCGAGCGACGCCGCGUGUGCGACGAAGGCCUUCGGGUUGUAAAGCACUGUCGAGGGGGAGGAAAGCCGAAAGGUCUGACCUAUCCCUGGAGGAAGCACGGGCUAAGUUCGUGCCAGCAGCCGCGGUAAGACGAACCGUGCGAACGUUGUUCGGAAUCACUGGGCAUAAAGGGCGCGUAGGCGGGCCGAUAAGUCAGGGGUGAAAUCCUCCAGCUCAACUGGAGAACUGCCUUUGAUACUGACGGUCUGGAGUAUGGUAGGGGCGUGCGGAACUGAUGGUGGAGCGGUGAAAUGUGUUGAUAUCAUCAGGAACUCCGGUGGCGAAAGCGGCACGCUGGACCAUUACUGACGCUGAGGCGCGAAAGCUAGGGGAGCAAACGGGAUUAGAUACCCCGGUAGUC